CUACGGGUUGCUGCAGUGAGGAAUAUUGCGCAAUGGAGGAAACUCUGACGCAGCGACGCCGCGUGAAGGAAGAAGGCCCUAUGGGUCGUAAACUUCUGUAGAGAGGGAAGAAAAAUUUGCUAUAUGCAUUUUUGACGGUACCUCUAAAGUAAGGAUCGGCCAACUACGUGCCAGCAGCCGCGGUAAUACGUAGGAUCCAAGCGUUGUCCGGAUUUACUGGGUGUAAAGGGAGCGCAGGCGGGUUUUUAAGUCGAUGGUGAAAUCGUGCAGCUUAACUGUACAACUGCCUUCGAUACUGAAAAUCUUGAAUAUGGAAGAGGGUGACGGAAUUCAUGGUGUAGCAGUGAAAUGCGUAGAUAUCAUGAAGAACACCGGUAGCGAAGGCGGUCACCUGGUCCAUUAUUAACGCUCAUGCUCGAAAGCGUGGGGAGCAAACAGGAUUAGAUACCCCCGUAGUC
rnacentral:rRNA from 1 species